UACGUAGGGGGCAAGCGUUGUCCGGAAUCAUUGGGCGUAAAGCGCGCGUAGGCGGCCAGAUAAGUCCGGUGUGAAAGUCACAGGCUCAACCUGUGAAUGCCGCUGGAAACUGUCUGGCUUGAGUCCGGAAGGGGCGAGUGGAAUUCCUGGUGUAGCGGUGAAAUGCGCAGAUAUCAGGAGGAACACCAAUGGCGAAGGCAGCUCGCUGGAACGGUACUGACGCUGGAGGCGCGAAAGCGUGGGGAGCGAACAGG
rnacentral:rRNA from 1 species